CGUGGCGAACGGGUGCGUAACACGUGGAUAACCUUCCUUCAGGUGGGGAAUAACCCCGCGAAAGCGGGGCUAAUACCGCAUAACAUGACGGCGGCACAUGCCGUUGUCCUCAAAGCCGCAAGGCGCCAGAAGAGGGAUCCGCGGCCGAUUAGCUUGUUGGCGAGGUAAUGGCUCACCAAGGCAAUGAUCGGUAGCCGGUCUGAGAGGAUGAUCGGCCACACUGGAACUGAGACACGGUCCAGACUCCUACGGGAGGCAGCAGUGGGGAAUCUUGCGCAAUGGGCGAAAGCCUGACGCAGCAACGCCGCGUGGGGGAUGAAGCUUCUCGGAGUGUAAACCCCUUUCGACCCGGACGAAUGCCCGCAAGGGUUUGACGGUACGGGUAUAAGAAGCCCCGGCUAACUACGUGCCAGCAGCCGCGGUAAAACGUAGGGGGCCAGCGUUGCUCGGAAUUACUGGGCGUAAAGGGUCCGUAGGCGGUGUGGCAAGUCGGAAGUGAAAUCUCUGGGCUUAACUCAGAGGCUGCUUCCGAAACUGCUGUGCUUGAGUGCGAGAGAGGCGAGUGGAAUUGCGGGUGUAGCGGUGAAAUGCGUAGAUAUCCGCAGGAACAUCCGAGGCGAAAGCGGCUCGCUGGAUCGCAACUGACGCUGAGGGACGAAAGCUAGGGGAGCAAACAGGAUUAGAUACCCUGGUAGUCCUAGCCCUAAACCAUCAGGACUUGGGGUUUGCCCUGUACGGGGCAAGUCCCGUAGCUAACGCGUUAAGUCCUGCGCCUGGGGAGUACGGUCGCAAGGCUGAAACUCAAAGGAAUUGACGGGGGCCCGCACAAGCGGUGGAACAUGUGGUUCAAUUCGA
rnacentral:rRNA from 1 species